UGGGGAAUAUUGCACAAUGGGCGAAAGCCUGAUCCAGCAAUGCCGCGUGAGUGAAGAAGGCCUUCGGGUUGUAAAGCUCUUUUGUCAGGGAAGAAACGGUGAGGGCUAAUAUCCCUUGCUAAUGACGGUACCUGAAGAAUAAGCACCGGCUAACUACGUGCCAGCAGCCGCGGUAAUACGUAGGGUGCAAGCGUUAAUCGGAAUUACUGGGCGUAAAGCGUGCGCAGGCGGUUUUGUAAGUCUGAUGUGAAAUCCCCGGGCUCAACCUGGGAAUUGCAUUGGAGACUGCAAGGCUAGAAUCUGGCAGAGGGGGGUAGAAUUCCACGUGUAGCAGUGAAAUGCGUAGAUAUGUGGAGGAACACCGAUGGCGAAGGCAGCCCCCUGGGUCAAGAUUGACGCUCAUGCACGAAAGCGUGGGGAGCAAACA
rnacentral:rRNA from 1 species